AUCGAACGCUGGCGGCAGGCCUAACACAUGCAAGUCGAGCGGACCCUUCGGGGUUAGCGGCGGACGGGUGAGUAGCGCGUGGGAAUAUGCCCUUCUCUACGGAAUAGUCCUGGGAAACUGGGGGUAAUACCGUAUACGCCCUUUGGGGGAAAGAUUUAUCGGGGAAGGAUUAGCCCGCGUUGGAUUAGGUAGUUGGUGGGGUAAUGGCCUACCAAGCCGACGAUCCAUAGCUGGUUUGAGAGGAUGAUCAGCCACACUGGGACUGAGACACGGCCCAGACUCCUACGGGAGGCAGCAGUGGGGAAUCUUAGACAAUGGGGGCAACCCUGAUCUAGCCAUGCCGCGUGAGUGAUGAAGGCCUUAGGGUUGUAAAGCUCUUUCAGCUGGGAAGAUAAUGACGGUACCAGCAGAAGAAGCCCCGGCUAACUCCGUG
rnacentral:rRNA from 1 species